ACUUAAAUUUUUUAUUCAUUUUUACUAUUAAAAUUUAGAGUGGUUAACAGAAUAACUAAAUAGUUAUACGUUGCGUGCCACAUGCACCUUGUGUUAAUAUACAAUGAUUAGUUUUUAACAAUAGAAAUGAAUGAAAUUUUUUGA
rfam:Gossypium hirsutum cultivar TM-1 chromosome 13, whole genome shotgun sequence